rnacentral:rRNA from 1 species
CCUACGGGCGGCAGCAGUGAGGAAUAUUGGUCAAUGGACGAGAGUCUGAACCAGCCAAGUAGCGUGAAGGAAGACUGCCCUAUGGGUUGUAAACUUCUUUUAUAUGGGAAUAAACUGUUCCACGUGUGGGAUUUUGUAUGUACCAUAUGAAUAAGGAUCGGCUAACUCCGUGCCAGCAGCCGCGGUAAUACGGAGGAUCCGAGCGUUAUCCGGAUUUAUUGGGUUUAAAGGGGGCGUAGGUGGAUUGUUAAGUCAGUUGUGAAAGUUUGGGGCUCAACCGUAAAAUUGCCGUUGAAACUGGCAGUCUUGAGUACAGUAGAGGUGGGCGGAAUUCGUGGUGUAGCGGUGAAAUGCUUAGAUAUCACGAAGAACUCCGAUUGCGAAGGCAGUUCACUGGACUGCAACUGACACUGAGGCUCGAAAGUGUGGGUAUCAAACAGGAUUAGAUACCCCAGUAGUC